GAGAAGUUCUCCAGCUUCUUACAAGAGGAGUGGUGAGAAUUUAACACGGUCAACACGGAGGUCUAGUCCUCCUGAGGAUCGCCCAAACAUGUCUGACAGACUGAACCUGGUGUUGUACGGGAGUGAUGGAUCAGUGAAGACCUCCAUAUCAGAGUUCAUACUGGGCCAGAGAGAGUCCAGUUCAGAGGCCAGCUCAGUGUGUGUUAGGAGGGAGGGAAAGGUGUGUGGACGCCUGCUUACU